rnacentral:lncRNA from 1 species
AUUUUGAUGUAAAUUUUUAAUAUUUAAUUUUUAAUUUGAAUUUAAAUUAAUAUAUUAUAAAGAUAAUGUUAGUAUAUUAAUUUGAUUACGUUUUAUAUAUCCACCUGAACCAAACACCGACAAUGAAAAUAAUUUAUUCCGAUUCCGAUUCAGAUGAUGAACCAAAACAGAAUUAGGUAAUGAGUCAUUCCGAUUUCGAUUCCAGCUUAUUUUAAUUUCGAUUCCGAUUCCGACUCCGACUUCGAACCAAACACGCCUUAACUCAUAUGAUUUUGCAUGGUAAUUAGUUAU